AUACGGAGGGUGCAAGCGUUAUCCGGAAUCAUUGGGUUUAAAGGGUCCGUAGGCGGGCGAUUAAGUCAGAGGUGAAAUCCCACAGCUCAACUGUGGAACUGCCUUUGAUACUGGUUGUCUUGAGUUACAGUGAAGUAGAUAGAAUGUGUAGUGUAGCGGUGAAAUGCAUAGAUAUUACACAGAAUACCGAUUGCGAAGGCAGUCUACUAACUGUAUACUGACGCUAAUGGACGAAAGCGUGGGGAGCGAACAGGAUUAGAAACCCCAGUAGUCC
rnacentral:rRNA from 1 species